GUGCUUACUUGGGCAGCACAUACACUGAAAUUGAAAUGAGACAGAGAAGAUUAGCAUAGCCCCUGCGAAAGGAUAACAUACAAAUUUGUGAAGCAUUUCAUAUAGAU